rnacentral:rRNA from 1 species
GACGAACGCUGGCGGCGUGCUUAACACAUGCAAGUCGAACGCUGAAGCACCAGCUUGCUGGUGUGGAUGAGUGGCGAACGGGUGAGUAAUACGUGAGUAACCUGCCCUUGACUCUGGGAUAAGCCCGGGAAACUGGGUCUAAUACUGGAUGCUACAUGUCACCGCAUGGUGGUGUGUGGAAAGGGUUUACUGGUCUUGGAUGGGCUCACGGCCUAUCAGCUUGUUGGUGAGGUAAUGGCUCACCAAGGCGACGACGGGUAGCCGGCCUGAGAGGGUGACCGGCCACACUGGGACUGAGACACGGCCCAGACUCCUACGGGAGGCAGCAGUGGGGAACAUUGCACAAUGGGCGAAAGCCUGAUGCAGCGACGCCGCGUGAGGGAUGACGGCCUUCGGGUUGUAAACCUCUUUCAGCAGGGAAGAAGCCACAAGUGACGGUACCUGCAGAAGAAGCGCCGGCUAACUACGUG